CAUUUUCCGUCCGUUUAAUUCCAUUGAGUCGGAGCAAAGCCAAUAAAAUAAUAAGAAACUCAUUAAGGAAUACACAUGUAUGUUACAAAUUUCAUUAUGUUUUAAGAAAAAACAGACGUGUUUAAUUUUUUACAGGCUUGCACAAUUUUAGAAAAAUGUGACAUUCACUCAUCUAAAAGUUUUGUUUUAAUGCUUGCUGAAUAUUGUAGAUAACAUUUGUCUUAGACUGAAACCCGAAUGUGCAUUACAGUGUUAUAAAGUAAAGCAUGGAAAAAGAACACUUUAUGCAAUU
rnacentral:lncRNA from 1 species